UGGAUUAAGAGCUUGCUCUUAUGAAGUUAGCGGCGGACGGGUGAGUAACACGUGGGUAACCUGCCCAUAAGACUGGGAUAACUCCGGGAAACCGGGGCUAAUACCGGAUAAUAUUUUGAACUGCAUGGUUCGAAAUUGAAAGGCGGCUUCGGCUGUCACUUAUGGAUGGACCCGCGUCGCAUUAGCUAGUUGGUGAGGUAACGGCUCACCAAGGCAACGAUGCGUAGCCGACCUGAGAGGGUGAUCGGCCACACUGGGACUGAGACACGGCCCAGACUCCUACGGGAGGCAGCAGUAGGGAAUCUUCCGCAAUGGACGAAAGUCUGACGGAGCAACGCCGCGUGAGUGAUGAAGGCUUUCGGGUCGUAAAACUCUGUUGUUAGGGAAGAACAAGUGCUAGUUGAAUAAGCUGGCACCUUGACGGUACCUAACCAGAAAGCCACGGCUAACUACGUGCCAGCAGCCGCGGUAAUACGUAGGUGGCAAGCGUUAUCCGGAAUUAUUGGGCGUAAAGCGCGCGCAGGUGGUUUCUUAAGUCUGAUGUGAAAGCCCACGGCUCAACCGUGGAGGGUCAUUGGAAACUGGGAGACUUGAGUGCAGAAGAGGAAAGUGGAAUUCCAUGUGUAGCGGUGAAAUGCGUAGAGAUAUGGAGGAACACCAGUGGCGAAGGCGACUUUCUGGUCUGUAACUGACACU
rnacentral:rRNA from 1 species